rnacentral:rRNA from 1 species
UUUGAUUUAAGGUCUGACCUGCCCAAUGAGUUUUUGAAUGGCCGCGGUAUUUUGACCGUGCAAAGGUAGCAUAAUCAUUAGUUUUUUAAUUGAAAGCUGGAAUGAAGGGUUGGAUGAGAAAAUAACUGUCUCUAUUUAAAUUUUUUAGAAUUUUAUUUUUAAGUAAAAAAGCUUAAAUUUUGUUAGAAGACGAGAAGACCCUAUAGAGUUUUAUUAAUUUUUUUUUAUUGGAUUUUUAGUAUUUAAUUUUUCUUAAGAAAAAUUAAUUUGAUUGGGGUGAUAGAAAAAUUUGAUAAACUUUUUUUUUAUUUAUACAUUUAUUUAUGAGUAUUUGAUCCUUUUUAUAAAGAUUAGAAGAUAAAAUUACCUUAGGGAUAACAGCGUAAUUUUCUUAGAGAGUUCAAAUCGAAAAGAAAGAUUGCGACCUCGAUGUUGGAUUAAAAUAAAAUUUUGGUGUAGAAGCUAAAGUAUUUAGGUCUGUUCGACCUUUAAAAUUUUACAUGAUCUGAGUUUAAACCGGUGUGAGCCAGGUUGGUUUCUAUCUCUAUUGAAAAUAAAUAUCUUAGUACGAAAGGACCAGAUAUUUAAUUUAAAAUUUUAUUAUAGAAUAAUAUU